rnacentral:rRNA from 1 species
ACUCAAAUGAAUUGACGGGGGCCCGCACAAGCGGAGGAGCAUGUGGUUUAAUUCGAUGGUACGCGAGGAACCUUACCUGGGCUUGAAAGUUAGUGACGUUUCGAGAAAUCGGAAUUUCCGCAAGGACACGAAACUAGGUGCUGCAUGGCUGUCGUCAGCUCGUGCCGUGAGGUGUUGGGUUAAGUCCCGCAACGAGCGCAACCCUUAUCAUUAGUUGCCAUCAGGUUAUGCUGGGGACUCUAAUGAAACUGCCCGCGUAAGCGUGGAGGAAGGUGGGGAUGACGUCAAGUCAGCACGGCUCUUACGUCCAGGGCUACACACGUGCUACAAUGGUCGGCACAAAGGGCAGCUACUUGGUAACAAGAUGCUAAUCUCUAAAACCGACCUCAGUUCGGAUUGAGGUCUGCAACUCGACCUCAUGAAGCUGGAUUCGCUAGUAAUCGCAUAUCAGCAAUGAUGCGGUGAAUACGUUCCCGGGCCUUGCACACACCGCCCGU